GCCUGGCGACCAUAGAAGGUUAGAACCACCUGAUCCCAUCCCGAACUCAGCAGUGAAAUGACCGAUCGCCGAUGGUAGUGUGGGGCUUCCCCAUGUGAGAGUAGGUCAUCGCCAGGCA
rnacentral:rRNA from 1 species